UGCUGUCGCACUACACACAAUGCUUUAGACAACAAAUGAUUAAAUAAAUAAACAAGUCAAUGUUUGUGACAAUUCCUUUGUGUGAUUUCAGGCUUUCCUGUGACAGCUGUGGUUUCUGUGGGUUUGAUCCUGCUGGCUGUGUGUUUAGUGCUCGUGUUGUUCAAAAUAAAACUCAGCAGCAAACACAACAUCCUCUCAUCAGACAGAAGAGAGACAGGAGAUCAUGAAACUGCUCAAGAAGAGAUUCAAGUCUCAGAUCCUGAAUCAACUAAUCUCUAUUCGACAGUUCAGUCACCCACAAAUCCCUCUGAUGGGCUCCUGUACGCUGCUGUCAGUUUCCAGAUGUGUGAAGAGUCUCUCAGAGACAUUACAGGCAGAUUCGGAAAAGAGGAGACUCACUGUGAAUACAUAUCUGUCAAUCACAGUAUCACACCAAAAAAUUAUUAGCACUGGAUUUUUGUUUUAUACACAACUAGAAGCAGUCACUGAGAAAAAUGACAGAGCCGUUUGAAACAAUGAGCUCCCUUUUUGUAUGAUGAAUUCCAUUCUUUUUGUAAAAUGCCAAUUCCUCAAAGAGAAUGCUCAGUUGUUAUUGGUUCAAUCCCUUCAGGCACUCACACAUUAGGUUUUGAUAAAGACCAUUCUCCCAAUUCAUCGUCUCUUGAUGUUACUAAAUCUUACGUUUUGUUUUUCAUGAAAUCCCAAGAGUAAUAGCCUAACAGAGCUAUUCGUACUCUUUUCCAAAGAAAAAUUGUUACUGUGCCUUAUGUUUUGUCUCAUUGAAACUGUUUAUUAAAUGGAAAAUUGAUUUGCUGGAGAAAAGUGUGGUUGUUACCGCAGAAAUAUUAUCUUAGAAAUAAGAUUAAAGACGUUUCUUAUAAGCUCAUUCACAAAUUUUAUCCAACAAAUUAUUUACAACAACAACAACAUCAACAACAACAAUAAUAAUAAUAAUAAUAAAAUAAACGUAAAUUGUAUAUUCUGCA
ensembl:lncRNA